rnacentral:rRNA from 4 species
GGCGAUAGCGAAGAGGUCACACCCGUUCCCAUGCCGAACACGGAAGUUAAGCUCUUCAGCGCCGAUGGUAGUCGGGGGUUUCCCCCUGUGAGAGUAGGACGCCGCCAAGC